rnacentral:lncRNA from 1 species
GAUGAUGAUUACGGUGAUUGAGAGAUGGUCGUUGCUGCUGAUGAGUUGCUUUGCUAGCUUCACGGUUGGCCGGAGAUGGCCAAUUCCCGGCGAAGGUAUGAACACGAGCUCAAUCAUCUUCAUUUCUGUUUUUUUUUUUUUUGGGUUUUUGGACUUUCCGUGUUGGCUGGGUUUAGAAUUGGUAAAAGUAAAGGGAUUAUUUUAUAAAGUAAAUGAAGUUGUUUGUUGGGUCACGUAAGCUGGCCCAUUUAGCAUUGUUGGGCCAAGGAAAACCUAAAAUAUAGAUAUGGUAGCCGCCGAAGGAAACCCUAAUUUCUCACAGAAGAGUUUCUUUCUGUCUCUCUGUGUGUAUUUAUAUGGUUUCGUUUUCUACAAAUUCGUAGGAUCUUGCUCUCUUUUCAUGUCUGUUUGAUAUAAUUGGUUAUUUUAGGGAUAGGUAUGUGACUAUUUUCGUGUCUGUAUAUGAUAAAAUUGGUGAUUUUUAGGGUUUUUGUGUAAGAGAUUUGUGAUGUGUGGAAGGGGUUACUAUGGUGAUGAUACAAGUGUAUGUGGACUAGAGUUUCAGAUCUGGGAUUCUUCUCCCAGAAGUUGAAGAUUAACCCUUGGCUGUCUGAGUAUUAAUUACCCUUUCACACAAAAAUCUUAUCUUUUGUUUGAUUUGAUUGAUGUUUUUGUCCUUGUUUGGGGGAGAAGCUGAUGAUGAUAAAAGACAAUUAUCUUAGCGGAUUUCAGUGAGGUUUUUCAAUCAAUGAUCUGAAUUUGUUACACACACUGAAGCUUUUAUGUUUUUCUUACAAUGUUUAGUUUAGUUUUGUUGGAUUAUUAUUAUCUGGUUUGAUUGAUGUUUUUGUCCUUGUUUGGCUUAUAUAAGCUGAUGAUGAUAGAAAACAAUUAUCUUAGCGGAUUUCAGUGAGGUUCUUGAAUCAAUGAACUGAAUUUGUUACACACACUGAAGCUUUGUUCUUUCAAUGUUUUUUUAUUUAAUUUGUGAUUGAUGAUGCAAUGAUGAGAGAAAAGCACGAAGAGUGUGAGAAGAGCAGUGGUUAUACCGUGAGCUCUCCUAUUUAAACGACUUCUCCUUCCACUGAGCAUAUUGAAACAAAUUUUCCCCUAUUGAAGAAAUAUUUUUUUUAAGUGUUUUUAGGUUUUUGUAUUGGCGUCCAUUACCAAUUCUGAAGGAUAAACACAAUUCCUUCAGGUAUAAUGGCUUGUGACGCUAUAUUUGUUGUGGUAUAUCCUGAUCAUCUUGCUAUCUUCCCUGCCUUUUGAUCCUGGAAAUGCCUCGCACAUAAUAACAACUAUAGUAUGUGUAAUUUGUUGACUACGUAUUCAUUUCAUUUGACAUCUUUUGCUGCUUUUUCAGCUCUUAUAUUAGCUUUUUCAUCAACAGACGAUCGUUGCAUUGUUGUGAGUGCUACAAUGUCUAUGGAAUUCUUACAAGAUUGGUAAAGUUGCUGAGAUGCUAGAGACUAUGAGGGGCAUAUGGGGAUAUUACGGGGAAACAGCCACUUGUUUUUCCUCGUUAUUCAUUGAUUUUCGGAGUUGACACUUCUUUGCGAGCUUCAAAGUUGACACUUCUUUGAUUUUCGGAGAUUUUAGGACUUUAUGUAAACAGUUUCUAUGUUCAAAUGUUGUUUCCUUUGCUACUUUUGGAAAACAAGUUGACAACUAUGAACUGUUUUUGGACUUUUAAUGAAUUCAGGACUCCUAUGAAAGUGAUUAACAAAACAAUUGACUUAUCAGGAAACAAGUGUUUGGUCGAAUGAGUUGAUUUUUGGACAUUUAAUGAAAAUUAGGGACACAUGGAAGUGAC